rnacentral:tmRNA from 1 species
GGGGACGUUACGGAUUCGACAGGGGUAGUUCGAGCUUGGGUGGCGAGUCGGAGGGUCGGCUCCGUAUCAACGCACGCCUAAAUAUAACUGGCAAAAAUAAUAAUUUAGCACUAGCUGCCUAAUGCAGCUGCUCCCCCCUCUAUCGCCCAUGUAGUAGGGUAAGGAGCUCAAAUUUAGUGGGCUACGCCGGAGUUCUCCGUCUGGGGACGAAGGAAGAGAAUAAUCAGACUAGCUGCUCGGACGCCUGUUGGUAGGCAUAAGAAGCGGCGAAACACAAAUAUACCAACUACACUCGUAGAAGCCUAAGUGGCGUUAUCUUUGGACGUGGGUUCGACUCCCACCGUCUCCACCA